AUACGGAGGGUGCAAGCGUUAUUCGGAAUCACAGGGCGUAAAGGACGCGUAGGCGGGUUGGCAAGUCAGAUGUGAAAUCCUACAGCUUAACUGUAGAACUGCAUUUGAAACUGCUAACCUAGAGUAUGGGAGGGGGAGAUGGAAUUAGUGGUGUAGGGGUAAAAUCCGUAGAUAUCACUAGGAAUACCGAAAGCGAAGGCGAUCUCCUGGAACAUAACUGACGCUAAGGCGUGAAAGCGUGGGGAGCAAACAGGAUUAGAAACCCCAGUAGUCC
rnacentral:rRNA from 1 species